UACAGGGGGUGCAAACGUUGCUCGGAAUCAUUGGGCGUAAAGCGCACGUAGGCGGUCUGUUAUGUCGGAUGUGAAAGCCCUCGGCUUAACUGAGGAAGUGCAUCCGAAACUGGCAGGCUAGAGUACCAAAGAGGGUCGCGGAAUUCCAGGUGUAGCGGUGAAAUGCGUAGAUAUCUGGAGGAACACCGGUGGCGAAGGCGGCAUUCUGGACCGAUAUUGACGCUGAGGAGCGAAAGCCAGGGGAGCAAACGGG
rnacentral:rRNA from 1 species